rnacentral:lncRNA from 1 species
AAGUGCCCAGAGCACCAGCAAGACCAGUGUGACUCUGUCCCUCGUCAUGCCUUCUCAGGGCCAGAUGGUCAACGGCUCUCACAGUGCCUCCACCUUGGAUGAAGCCACUCCUACUCUCACUAAAGCCCCACUCUGACCCUGCAGUCUACCAACACCCACACCCAGAGCAGCAGCUCCAGCUCGGACGGGGGCCUCUUCCGCUCCAGACCGGCUCACUCACUUCCACCUGGAGAGGAUGGCAGGGUCGAGCCCUAUGUGGACUUUGCUGAGUUUUACCGACUCUGGAGCGUGGACCAUGGCGAGCAGAGUGUGAUGACGGCACCUUAGUCUAGCCUCAGAGGGCGAGUGACAAGACAAGACAAGACAAGACAAGACAAGCUUCUUAACCUUUGCAGGUGCCGUGGAACCAGUGGGCAGUGUGUCACUGAUGUACUGCAGCCUGAGUACUGACUGCACUGCUGCUCCACACAGGAAGCUAGAGUCCAGACUACAGGCAACCUUAGGCAGGGCCAACGGGAAAGCCGCAGGUGGCUUACAAACCAUCAAGAGUGCCUCUUGACAAGUUCAAAGAAGGAAGCCAUCCUGUGGACCCCAUCUACUACAGGCCAGACAGACACUGCUCCCUCGAGGCUGCUCUACCUGCCUCAAGUUCCCCUGGAAUAGCCUGUGGCCUCUGCUUUAGCUGAGUUCCUCUGGAAUAGCUAGUGCCCUUUGCUUCUGGGUGGUUAUCCCUUUCCCAUCUUUCAGCCUAAACUCCUAGAUCCAGAGUACAGAGUAAUGGGAGUAGGUGCCUGUCAUUGGAUGUCACUGGAAAAGUCUAGGGAAGCAGAGGGGCCUGCAACAGUCACAGGGGAGCAGGACAAGGAAGGACUGGACCAGAGAGAGCUGGCCAAGGAAUGUCAGUCCUGGGCUGCAGGUCAGCCAGCUGGCAGCUGAGCUAACCCAGAGAGCUGGCUUCCCAGUGGGGUACAGAUGGCAGGACAGGCCCAAGUGCUGUAGUGUCUGCUUCUGUUAGAUCCUGCCCUGGGGUGGGGCAGGCCAAGUCAGAAGCCAGUGCCUUUCUCCCAGCUGGUACUGGGAAGCCGGUGAUAGGGGUGCUGAGUCAACAGCUUUCACUCUGAUGAGGAAGCUGAUUGGCUCUGGGUUCUGCUGAAAGAGGAGUAGAAGAUGGCUGUGAGACGGAAGAGAUUGAGUCGCCCACCCAGAAAGACCAAGGGCAUCAGAUGUGAUGGUGUGGACAUGCUGGGGAAAGAUUGUGCCUGUCAGGCUCUGACUUGGACCUGUUGACAUGUUUCCUACCAUCAGACAGGAGGUCACUACAGCUGCCUGCAGUGUGGCUGCCCCUAUGCUCAGAGGAGGAAGCAGGCUGGGUGCUCCCCCUUACCUGAGCCCUCCCAUCAGGAUUGGAGUCCAAGCUCAAAUCUGUAGCCUUGUAACUGGUAUUCUGCAACCCUUUCUACGGUGCAGCUAGUGGGCGGGUGAGUCCAGUGUCUCCUGUUGGCAAAGGCCAGUUUAGAGCAUGUCUCACUCAGACUCCAUUUCCGUAAGGAGGCUGUUUGCUCAGUGCUGAGGAGAAACCGUGGGAUGGUGGGGAGAAGAGGAAGAAGCCUUCUUGCUUCCCACUAGGAAGUCACCUUGCCCUUCAGGUGAGCAGCUUUCAGCCGAUGCACAAAGACCUGGGACAAUGGAGAGCCUCCCCUGGGGAUGUGGUGCUGUUUGGUCUCUAGAAAUAGAACCAUGUUCUUAAUGCAGUACAGUAAAGAUGUCAUGUGUCA